GGGGGCUUAGUGGUGGGGUGACUGCGUACCUUUUGUAUAAUGGGUCAGCGACUUAUAUUCUGUAGCAAGGUUAACCGAAUAGGGGAGCCGGAGGGAAACCGAGUCUUAACCGGGCGUUAAGUUGCAGGGUAUAGACCCGAAACCCGGUGAUCUAGCCAUGGGCAGGUUGAAGGUUGGGUAACACUAACUGGAGGACCGAACCGACUAAUGUUGAAAAAUUAGCGGAUGACCUGUGGCUGGGGGUGAAAGGCCAAUCAAACCGGGAGAUAGCUGGUUCUCCCCGAAAGCUAUUUAGGUAGCGCCUCGUGAAUUCAUCUCCGGGGGUAGAGCACUGUUUCGGCUAGGGGGCCAUCCCGGCUUACCAACCCGAUGCAAACUGCGAAUACCGGAGAAUGUUAUCACGGGAGACACACGGCGGGUGCUAACGUCCGUCGUGAAGAGGGAAACAACCCAGACCGCCAGCUAAGGUCCCAAAGUCAUGGUUAAGUGGGAAACGAUGUGGGAAGGCCCAGACAGCCAGGAUGUUGGCUUAGAAGCAGCCAUCAUUUAAAGAAAGCGUAAUAGCUCACUGGUCGAGUCGGCCUGCGCGGAAGAUGUAACGGGGCUAAACCAUG
rnacentral:rRNA from 1 species